UUAAGCGACUAAGCGUACACGGUGGAUGCCCUGGCAGUCAGAGGCGAUGAAGGACGUGCUAAUCUGCGAUAAGCGUCGGUAAGGUGAUAUGAACCGUUAUAACCGGCGAUUUCCGAAUGGGGAAACCCAGUGUGUUUCGACACACUAUCAUUACGUGAAUACAUAGCGUAAUGAAGCGAACCGGGGGGAACUGAAACAUCUAAGUACCCCGAGGAAAAGAAAUCAACCGAGAUUCCCCCAGUAGCGGCGAGCGAACGGGGAGCAGCCCAGAGUCUGAAUCAGCUUGUGUGUUAGUGGAACGGUCUGGAAAGUCCGACGGUACAGGGUGAUAGUCCCGUACACCAAAAUGCACAGGUUGUGAACUCGAAGAGUAGGGCGGGACACGUGGUAUCCUGUCUGAAUAUGGGGGGACCAUCCUCCAAGGCUAAAUACUCCUGACUGACCGAUAGUGAACCAGUACCGUGAGGGAAAGGCGAAAAGAACCCCGGCGAGGGGAGUGAAAAAGAACCUGAAACCGUGUACGUACAAGCAGUGGGAGCCUACUUGUUAGGUGACUGCGUACCUUUUGUAUAAUGGGUCAGCGACUUAUAUUCUGUAGCAAGGUUAACCGUAUAGGGGAGCCGAAGGGAAACCGAGUCUUAACUGGGCGUUAAGUUGCAGGGUAUAGACCCGAAACCCGGUGAUCUAGCCAUGGGCAGGUUGAAGGUUGGGUAACACUAACUGGAGGACCGAACCGACUAAUGUUGAAAAAUUAGCGGAUGACUUGUGGCUGGGGGUGAAAGGCCAAUCAAACCGGGAGAUAGCUGGUUCUCCCCGAAAGCUAUUUAGGUAGCGCCUCGUGAAUUCAUCUUCGGGGGUAGAGCACUGUUUCGGCUAGGGGGUCAUCCCGACUUACCAACCCGAUGCAAACUGCGAAUACCGAAGAAUGUUAUCACGGGAGACACACGGCGGGUGCUAACGUCCGUCGUGAAGAGGGAAACAACCCAGACCGCCAGCUAAGGUCCCAAAGUCAUGGUUAAGUGGGAAACGAUGUGGGAAGGCACAGACAGCCAGGAUGUUGGCUUAGAAGCAGCCAUCAUUUAAAGAAAGCGUAAUAGCUCACUGGUCGAGUCGGCCUGCGCGGAAGAUGUAACGGGGCUAAACCAUGCACCGAAGCUGCGGCAGCGACACUAAGUGUUGUUGGGUAGGGGAGCGUUCUGUAAGCCGUUGAAGGUGUGCUGUGAGGCAUGCUGGAGGUAUCAGAAGUGCGAAUGCUGACAUAAGUAACGAUAAUGCGGGUGAAAAACCCGCACGCCGGAAGACCAAGGGUUCCUGUCCAACGUUAAUCGGGGCAGGGUGAGUCGACCCCUAAGGCGAGGCCGAAAGGCGUAGUCGAUGGGAAACAGGUUAAUAUUCCUGUACUUGGUGUUACUGCGAAGGGGGGACGGAGAAGGCUAUGUUAGCCGGGCGACGGUUGUCCCGGUUUAAGCAUGUAGGCGGAGGUUCCAGGUAAAUCCGGUACCUUUUUAACGCUGAGGUGUGAUGACGAGGCACUACGGUGCUGAAGUAACAAAUGCCCUGCUUCCAGGAAAAGCCUCUAAGCAUCAGGUAACACGAAAUCGUACCCCAAACCGACACAGGUGGUCAGGUAGAGAAUACCAAGGCGCUUGAGAGAACUCGGGUGAAGGAACUAGGCAAAAUGGUGCCGUAACUUCGGGAGAAGGCACGCUGAUAUGUAGGUGAAGCGGUUUACCCGUGGAGCUGAAAUCAGUCGAAGAUACCAGCUGGCUGCAACUGUUUAUUAAAAACACAGCACUGUGCAAACACGAAAGUGGACGUAUACGGUGUGACGCCUGCCCGGUGCCGGAAGGUUAAUUGAUGGGGUUAUCCGUAAGGAGAAGCUCUUGAUCGAAGCCCCGGUAAACGGCGGCCGUAACUAUAACGGUCCUAAGGUAGCGAAAUUCCUUGUCGGGUAAGUUCCGACCUGCACGAAUGGCGUAAUGAUGGCCAGGCUGUCUCCACCCGAGACUCAGUGAAAUUGAACUCGCUGUGAAGAUGCAGUGUACCCGCGGCAAGACGGAAAGACCCCGUGAACCUUUACUAUAGCUUGACACUGAACACUGGUCCUUGAUGUGUAGGAUAGGUGGGAGGCUUUGAAGUGUGGACGCCAGUCUGCAUGGAGCCAUCCUUGAAAUACCACCCUUUAAUGGCUGGUGUUCUAACGUGGACCCGUUACCCGGGUUGCGGACAGUGUCUGGUGGGUAGUUUGACUGGGGCGGUCUCCUCCUAAAGAGUAACGGAGGAGCACGAAGGUUAGCUAAUCCUGGUCGGACAUCAGGAGGUUAGUGCAAAGGCAUAAGCUAGCUUGACUGCGAGAGUGACGGCUCGAGCAGGUGCGAAAGCAGGUCUUAGUGAUCCGGUGGUUCUGAAUGGAAGGGCCAUCGCUCAACGGAUAAAAGGUACUCCGGGGAUAACAGGCUGAUACCGCCCAAGAGUUCAUAUCGACGGCGGUGUUUGGCACCUCGAUGUCGGCUCAUCACAUCCUGGGGCUGAAGUAGGUCCCAAGGGUAUGGCUGUUCGCCAUUUAAAGUGGUACGCGAGCUGGGUUUAGAACGUCGUGAGACAGUUCGGUCCCUAUCUGCCGUGGGCGCUGGAGAAUUGAGGGGGGCUGCUCCUAGUACGAGAGGACCGGAGUGGACGCAUCACUGGUGUUCGGGUUGUCAUGCCAAUGGCAUUGCCCGGUAGCUAAAUGCGGAAGAGAUAAGUGCUGAAAGCAUCUAAGCACGAAACUUGCCCCGAGAUGAGUUCUCCCUGAGACUAUAAGUCUCCUGAAGGAACGUUGAAGACGACGACGUUGAUAGGUCGGGUGUGUAAGUGUAGCGAUACAUUGAGCUAACCGAUACUAAUGAACCGUGAGGCUUAACCUU
rnacentral:rRNA from 1 species